AUGGCGCAGGCGGGGGGUGCCGGUGCGGGGGCCUGGGGUCGGCGGGGCGCGGGCGCAGGUGCGGGCCUGGAGCGCGCGCCUUGGCGCUGGGCCCCCGCGCUGCUCUGGCUGGCGGCGGCGACGGCGGCGACGGCGGCGGGCGACCCCUCCCGGCGCCAGUGGCCGGUGCCCUACAAACGCUUCUCCUUCCGUCCGGAACCAGAUCCUUAUUGUCAAGCUAAAUAUACUUUCUGUCCCACUGGCUCCCCUAUACCAGUGAUGAAGGAUGACGAUGUCAUUGAAGUCUUUCGAUUACAAGCCCCAGUGUGGGAAUUUAAAUAUGGAGACCUCCUGGGACACUUGAAAAUCAUGCAUGAUGCCAUUGGAUUCAGGAGUACUUUAACGGAGAAGAACUACACGAUGGAAUGGUAUGAACUCUUCCAACUUGGAAACUGCACGUUUCCCCAUCUCCGACCUGAAAUGAAUGCCCCUUUCUGGUGUAAUCAGGGAGCUGCCUGCUUUUUUGAAGGGAUUGAUGAUAAUCACUGGAAGGAAAAUGGGACGUUAGUUCUAGUAGCAACCAUAUCAGGAGGCAUGUUUAACAAAAUGGCAAAGUGGGUAAAACAGGACAAUGAAACAGGGAUUUAUUAUGAGACAUGGACUGUCCAAGCCAGCCCGAAAAAGGAGGCAGAGAAAUGGUUUGAAUCCUACGACUGCUCCAAAUUUGUGUUAAGGACCUAUGAGAAAUUGGCUGAACUUGGAGCAGACUUCAAGAAGAUAGAAACCAACUAUACAAGGAUAUUUCUUUACAGUGGAGAACCUACUUAUCUGGGAAAUGAAACAUCUGUUUUUGGGCCAACAGGAAACAAGACUCUUGCUUUAGCUAUAAAAAAAUUUUAUUACCCUUUCAAACCACAUUUGUCAACUAAAGAAUUUCUGUUGAGUCUCUUGCAAAUUUUUGAUGCAGUGGUUAUACACAGAGAGUUCUAUUUGUUUUAUAAUUUUGAAUAUUGGUUUUUACCUAUGAAAUCCCCUUUUAUUAAAAUAACAUAUGAAGUAGGCCUUUCUUCCUUGGGGCAGAAAGCUAACAUACUUAUGGGGAGCAUUGCUUGCAUAAUGGUACCUCAAGAAUUUUUGGAAAGCGGUAAACUCUUACUGUGUUGGCCAAAGUGAACCCAUGAGGUGAUCUGGAUUUCAAUCUCCAAGCCUUCGUUCAUAUGAGAAUUAUAUCACGUCAGAUAUAAAGGAUCUUUGGACUCAAUGUUCCAUUGUGGGUAUGGUGUGCUGAGGCUUAAAUUAAAAUACCUUUGGUGACAUUCUCAUGGUGGAAGCUACUUUUUCAAG
rnacentral:lncRNA from 1 species